ACAGGAUUUGGCAUGAGCCAAGUUUUGAGUAAUUCACGAGCCAUGUUGAUUAUUUGGUUGAAAUGAAUAUUCGUGAUGUGAAAAAUUUGCUAAAGUUAAUUAUUUUUUAAUUGUCUCCAUUUACUCGCCUUUAGAUAGUUUAGAUGGUGUCUAUUUACUCACUGGGAUUUUAUAAUCUCACCACCCUUAAUUCCCCACAUUUCAUGUUCGGGAUAGCCGGUAGAUAGCCGAUUGCAUCAAGGACUUCAGUUAGCCUUGCAUUGACAAAAUUAUAGGUUCACAAACUUGCAUCUUAUUGGUUAGUUGAGAGCCCAUGUGUCAUUAUAAAAGUAAUUUUAUACUUUAGUUAUCUGAUUUAAAAUAUGUAUGAACAUAUUUAGCUUUUACACCAUUAUUUUGACGAGUUUCGGUAUUAUCGAAAAAAAAUGACUAAAAUGCCCCUGUGAGCC
rnacentral:lncRNA from 1 species